AUGUACAUGUGUUGUUUUGCUGUGAAAUUGUCGAAUAUAUUAGUUGCUUUUCAUUUAUACCGAUUUUCAGAUAAUUUUUACUUGUGAUUUCAUAAUAACUCAGUUGAAUGCUUGUCUCUUUUGCAUUCUAAUAAGUGAGAUUUAAUUGAGUUUUUGUUUAUAAUCUGCACAAGAUCGAGAUCGUGCUUUAGUGAAUCUCGUAAACUCACUUUAGUGAGGUUAUGAAUCCGUGUUGUCAUACUCAGUUUCACUUGUGUGUAAAUGGAAAGCAACUAUAUUGUCAGGCGUGAUAUUUAUAAUCGCCUCCUUCGUGUUUCUUCCUCUGUCUUCUAUUGAAAUUUUGAUCCUGGGACGUGUCGGUAAUCAGUAUCGUGAGAUUUAAUUAAAUAUAACGAUUGAUCUUGACUGGGCUCGACCAAAGUUCACGCCAAAGGUACGGUUUUGGAGCAGCGUAAAGGCUAGAGAAAAAGAAAGAGACCUAUUUGAAAAUUCCGAGGUUUUCUUAUAUACGAAAACAGAAGUAUCCUUCAUCCAUGGCAGUAAUCAAAGAUCAUGCUGUUCGCAGCAAUUUCUUAUUGAUUACUCUUAUUGUUAGCAGGGAUCUAAUUUGAGGGUAUAUUUGUGUAUAUUUGAAUAUUUAAUGAUUCAAAAAAGUUGGUGAAGAUUGAUUGCAAAGUUCUUGUAAUCAAAGAUUUGAAAAGAGACUGAAGGAAAUAACUUACAAUUGUAGUCUUUUUUUAUAAAUUUAUCAAACAAUGCCGGUUCCUGUUAGAAAAAGGAUUCCUAUUAAAACUUCAACAACUACAUAUAACAAUCCAAAGAACUAUGAAUCUCAAAAGAUGAAGUUUCAUAAGCAUCAAG